UACAGAGGUCUCAAGCGUUGUUCGGAUUCAUUGGGCGUAAAGGGUGUGUAGGUGGCGCGCUAAGUCGGGUGUGAAAUUUCGGAGCUUAACUCCGAAACUGCAUUCGAUACUGCGGUGCUUGAGGACUGGAGAGGAGACUGGAAUUCCUGGUGUAGCGGUGAAAUGCGCAGAUAUCAGGAGGAACACCGGUGGCGAAGGCGGGUCUCUGGGCAGUAACUGACGCUGGAGGAGCGAAAGCGUGGGGAGCGAACAGG
rnacentral:rRNA from 1 species